GUCGUAACAAAGGUUUCCGUAGGUGAACCUGCGGAAAGGAUCAUUA
rnacentral:rRNA from 1 species